rnacentral:rRNA from 1 species
CCUACGGGCGGCAGCAGUGGGGAAUAUUGCACAAUGGGGGCAACCCUGAUGCAGCAACGCCGCGUGAGUGAAGAAGUAUUUCGGUUUGUAAAGUUCUAUCAGCAGGGAAGAAGCAAGACGGUAUCUGACUAAGAAGCGCCGGCUAACUACGUGCGAGCAGCGGCGGUAAUACGUAGGGGGCAAGCGUUAUCCGGAUUUACUGGGUGUAAAGGGAGCGUAGACGGGAUGGCAAGUCUGAAGUGAAAGCACAGGGCUUAACCCGGGGACUGCUUUGGAAACUGUUAGACUAGAGUGCUGGAGAGGUAAGUGGAAUUCCUAGUGUAGCGGUGAAAUGCGUAGAUAUUAGGAGGAACACCAGUGGCGAAGGCGGUCUACUGGACAGUAACUGACGCUGAGGCGCGAAAGCGUGGGGAGCAAACAGGAUUAGAUACCCUGGUAGUC